rnacentral:tRNA from 1 species
GCGUAUGCGGAUAUGGUCGAAUGGUAAAAUU